AGUGAACGCUGGCGGUAGGCCUAACACAUGCAAGUCGAACGGCAGCACAGUAAGAGCUUGCUCUUACGGGUGGCGAGUGGCGGACGGGUGAGGAAUACAUCGGAAUCUACUUUUUCGUGGGGGAUAACGUAGGGAAACUUACGCUAAUACCGCAUACGACCUACGGGUGAAAGCAGGGGAUCUUCGGACCUUGCGCGAUUGAAUGAGCCGAUGUCGGAUUAGCUAGUUGGCGGGGUAAAGGCCCACCAAGGCGACGAUCCGUAGCUGGUCUGAGAGGAUGAAUCGCCACACUGGAACUGAGACACCGUCCAGACUCCUAAGGGGGGGAACAGUGGGGAAUAUUGGAACAUGGGGGCAAACCUGAUCCCGCCCUACCGCGUGGGUGGAAAAGGCCUUCGGGUUUUAAAACCCUUUUGUUGGGAAAGAAAAGCAGCAGGUUAAUACCCCGCUGUUCUGACGGUACCCAAAGAAUAAGCACCGGCUAACUUCGUG
rnacentral:rRNA from 1 species